UACGAAGGGGGGCUAGCGUUGUUCGGAUUUACUGGGCGUAAAGCGCACGUAGGCGGAUUGUUAAGUGAGGGGUGAAAUCCCAGGGCUCAACCCUGGAACUGCCUUUCAUACUGGCAAUCUUGAGUCCGGAAGAGGUGAGUGGAACUCCUAGUGUAGAGGUGGAAUUCGUAGAUAUUAGGAAGAACACCAGUGGCGAAGGCGGCUCACUGGUCCGGUACUGACGCUGAGGUGCGAAAGCGUGGGGAGCAAACAGGG
rnacentral:rRNA from 1 species